ensembl:snRNA U6 U6 spliceosomal RNA
GUGUUUGCUUCGGCAGCAUGAAUACUAAAACUGGAACCAUACAGAGAAGAUAAGCGUGGCCCCUGUGCCAGAAUGACAGGCAGAUUCGUGAAACAUUCCAUAUUUAA